GACGAACGCUGGCGGCGUGCUUAACACAUGCAAGUCGAACGAAAAGAGGGAAAGAGCUUGCUCUUUCCGGAAUUGAGUGGCAAACGGGUGAGUAACACGUAAACAACCUGCCUUCAGGAUGGGGACAACAGACGGAAACGACUGCUAAUACCGAAUAAGUUCCAAGAGCCGCAUGGCCCAUGGAAGAAAAGGUGGCCUCUACCUGUAAGCUAUCGCCUGAAGAGGGGUUUGCGUCUGAUUAGGUGGUUGGAGGGGUAACGGCCCACCAAGGCGACGAUCAGUAGCCGGUCUGAGAGGAUGAACGGCCACACUGGAACUGAGACACGGUCCAGACUCCUACGGGAGGCAGCAGUGGGGAAUCUUCCGCAAUGGGCGAAAGCCUGACGGAGCAACGCCGCGUGAGUGAUGACGGCCUUCGGGUUGUAAAACUCUGUGAUCCGGGACGAAAAGGCAGAGUGCGAAGAACAAACUGCAUUGACGGUACCGGAAAAGCAAGCCACGGCUAACUACGUG
rnacentral:rRNA from 1 species